AAAAGGACUCUCGGCAACGGAUAUCUCGGCUCUUGCAUCGAUGAAGAACGUAGCGAAAUGCGAUACUUGGUGUGAAUUGCAGAAUCCCGUGAACCAUCGAGUCUUUGAACGCAAGUUGCGCCCAAAGCCAUUCGGUUGAGGGCACGCCUGCCUGGGUGUCG
rnacentral:rRNA from 1 species